rnacentral:rRNA from 1 species
AUUGAACGCUGGCGGCAGGCUUAACACAUGCAAGUCGAGCGGGGUGAAGUGCUUCGGUACUGAUCCUAGCGGCGGACGGGUGAGUAAUGCUUAGGAAUCUGCCAUUUAGUGGGGGACAACAUUCCGAAAGGAAUGCUAAUACCGCAUACGUCCUACGGGAGAAAGCAGGGGAUCUUCGGACCUUGCGCUAAAUGAUGAGCCUAAGUCGGAUUAGCUAGUCGGUGGGGUAAAGGCCUACCAAGGCGACGAUCUGUAGCGGGUCUGAGAGGAUGAUCCGCCACACGGGGACUGAGACACGGCCCAGACCCCUACGGGAGGCAGCAGUGGGGAAUAUUGGACAAUGGGCGGAAGCCUGAUCCAGCCAUGCCGCGUGUGUGAAGAAGGCCUUUUGGUUGUAAAGCACUUUAAGCGAGGAGGAGGCUACCUGGAUUAAUACUCUAGGAUAGUGGACGUUACUCGCAGAAUAAGCACCGGCUAACUCUGUGCCAGCCGCCGCUGUAAUAC